rnacentral:rRNA from 1 species
UACGGGGGGGGCAAGCGUUGUUCGGAAUUACUGGGCGUAAAGGGCUCGUAGGUGGCCAACUAAGUCAGACGUGAAAUCCCUCGGCUUAACCGGGGAACUGCAUCUGAUACUGGAUGGCUUGAGUUUGGGAGAGGGAUGCGGAAUUCCAGGUGUAGCGGUGAAAUGCGUAGAUAUCGGGAGGAACACCGGUGGCGAAGGCGGUUCUCUGGGCCUGACCUGACGCUGAGGAGCGAAAGCGUGGGGAGCGAACAGG